GGAGGCGCGCAGCGUGGGCGGGCGGAGUUUCGGCGCUGGCCCCGCCCCCGGCCCUGCUCGCGCGGGACGGUUAACGGCUGCGGGCCGAGGCCUCGCGCUGCGGCCCAGGUGCCGUUACCUGUCGCGCAGGUCCCGGGAGAGUCACGCUCGGUGAAGGCUGUUCCCCUCUGACGAGGGAAAUAAGAGUCUAUCCAAACCCAGGGUCACCUGCUGUGGUGUUAGCUUCGGUAAACCGUGCUGGAUCCCGGCGGGCGCUUCGUCACCGCGAGGGUGUAAUAGGGAGCUCCGUUUCCUCUCGCUUGGGGAUUAUAAGACCUUUCAGCUAUUAUGCGAAGUAUUUAGAUGCUUCGUACUUCUCAGGCCAUCCCAUGCAUACAAACGGAUGAAAACUCAGUGCAGCAUGUGAACGGUCAGUCAGGAAUAACGUGCUGAGCAGAGCGCCCGAGUGUCUGCGCGUGGCCGGCGGGGAGAGGCCUUCAGCCGGCACCUGCUUAGUUAUUCACAGCUAAGUACAAAAGUAUUUACCGAAUCAGAUUUUUCUGGUUUGCUGGAAUAAUGAGUUUUAAAGGCCUUUUUGUGUUCUGUAUCUGUUUUGUGAGUGUAUAACAAGAUAUAUACUUGCUAAGUGUAGCAUGGUGUGCAAAUUUAUCUUCUACAAUAUGCUACAGUUCAACAGGCAUUCUCUUCUAGCAAAGUUGCACGUGUUGAUUUGAAAAAUUGUAUUUCUCUUUUUUUAUGUGACCUUUCUUAAAGCUCUGUGUUUGUUCAAUCUAGACAUCAGCGUUUUAAGAGGAACACUGGAUACCAUGAAUUAAAUAGAUGUGCAAAACUCAAUCCUUUACUGGGUAGAGAUUAGUAAACCAGCAUAUAUUGUUUAAAAUGAGUUUUCACAGCCUGCCCAAGCCAAUUUCUGUGUAGAGUUUCAUGCUUUCCUUCCACUUUCUUAUUCGUAUAGCCUACAGACUUUUAGAAAACAUUUCAUUUCUUUAAGAGUAGGCAGCGCUAUGAAGUAUAGGUAAUAUCUUGGGUCCUUUGAGGUCCCGACAAUGUUUCUGUUGACCUGAAAACAGGGAUUUCAUUCCUUACAGUUUUUUUUUUUAACAGACUGCAAAAUACUUAAAAUUUUUGGCAUUCAAACAGCUUCCUUAGCUAGCAAGGUAUGAAUUUAUAAGUCUAAUACGUCAGCUUUUGUAAACUGAUCACAGGUUUCAAUCUACUGCAUCAGAUUCAUAUAAGAAUUGCUUGAAGUCAUCAUUGCAUUUUGAGAGUUUCAGCAUUAAAGUAAUCUUCGUUACGUACUUAAUCCAAUUUGGGUCCAAAUCAAUAGAAAGUCUUCCAUCACCUUUGAUGGCUAUUUAUUCAGACCCAAUAAAGACAGCUACUAGUAAUUUCAUAUCAUAAUGUUAUGGCCUUCUCUGAUACAGAAUUUAAAGUUGGAAGGUUUUCUCCCAGAAGAUUUUUGCAUUUGCCUUAUUUCCUUGUCUGUUUCCUAUACAGUGGUCUUGCUUGCUUGAGCUUUCUACAUGAAAUCUUGUUUCAUUGAAGGAGAUUAGAAUUUUGUCAUUGAUUUAAACAUACUAGAGCUUUAUCCUUUGGUAUAGCACAAGUUAAGUACAUACUAUUCAUCUUCUUUAAAUUAGGGUCAAAUUAUUCAGCAGCUUGUAGAAUCAAGAUCCGUCUGUUUAUAUAAGAACAUAAAGUACCCAUAAGGCUUGUCACUGGAAUAUCACAGAAUUGCAGGAUGGUUGAGGUUGGAAGGGACCCCUGGAGAUCAUCUAGUCCAACCCCCCUGCUCAGGCAGGGUCACCUACACCUGGGCACCUACAUCUGGGCACAUUGCCCAGGAUUGUGUCCAGGCAGCUUUUGAAUAUCUCCACGGAUGGAGGCCCCACAACCUCUCUGGGUAACCUGUUCCAGUGCUCAGUCACCCUCACAGUAAAAAAGCUUUUCCUCAUGUUCAAAUGGAAGUUCCUGUGCUUCAAUUUGUGCCUGUUACCUCAUGUCCUAUUGCUGGACACCACUGAAAGGAGUCUGGCCCGAGAUACCGUACGAUAAACUUAGAGCUACACAACAAUGAAUUCUGCAGUGGCCUUCCCAAAUUGUCCUGCUGUUUGUUCAUUAAGGCAUGCAAAGUUUUCCAGGAAGUUCUGUGAAGGAUAUAUAAAGUUAAUGUUUUGUUUACAGUAGAAGAGAUUUGCUAAGGACGUUUGCAGUUUAGUCAAAAAGUCUGUUCAUUCCACGAGCAAGCUCCUUUCAUGAAAAACAGUUUGUCUUCAACUUAUGUAUGCUUAAGUCUGGAUUUAUUAGCUGUAUCAUAAUAGAGUGAAAUGUGAGGUGAAAAUUGGUCUUUUUUUGUUAGUUCAACGUAUCAGUCCCAUUUUUUUGUUGUCUGUCAUCUUGAGCAAAGUAUAUAAUAUUUGUUAGGAACUGGUUAAACAAAUAGUUGAAAACAAAAAGGAGUAAGUAGUCAGUUUAUGAAGAGAGGUUACCUGUAGAGUUCCCCUAGAUUCUGUGCUCCAUGCAGUUUGGAAUAUUCUUAAGCAAUAUUCUUAAGUGAUCUGGAGUAGAGGAUUAAUAAUGAAGAGAUUAAUUUUAUUACAGAAUGCUGUUCUGUGUGAUCAGAACAAUAAGCAGUAGUAGAAGAAUAUCAUGAACUUGUAUGAAUGGGAAAAUGUCAGCUGAAAUUAACUGUUGAUGGAUGAAGAUCAUUCAUCUAGGGGAAAGGAAUUCUAAUUAGCCAUUGGGUAUGUAGAUCUCUGAAUUAGCUAUUCCUACUUAGGAAAGAGAUGUUAGAAACCUUCUAGGUACUUUUCUGAAUGCUCAUCAGUGUUCGAAAAGGAAUAUAGAAUUUUAGGAAAUAUUAGGAAACAGGUAGAUGAGAAAAAAAUCGAAAACGUUAUUAUGUCAACAUACCAAGAAUCCGAAUUCUCUGUGCUGUAAAAUCCUCAAAAAAUAAUAAAACUGAAAUAAAUAUAGAACACUGAGACAAGGAUGAGCAGAGUCAUGGAAUGGCUUCAGUAUGUGGAAGAUGACUGAGGGGAGAGAAGAAUACAACAGAGGUCUAUAAAAUUGUGACUGAUGUGGAGAAAGUGACUAAGUUACUGUUACUUGCUGCUUGCUUGUUAUGCAGAAGUGCAUGCACUAAAUAAAAUGAUCAGGUAACAAGUUUAAAACAACAGAAGCAAGUAUUUUUUCAGGCAAAGUGCCAUUAAAUUCUGGAACUCAUUUCCACCGGAUCUUUUGGUUCAAAAGCAUAAGUGGUUUAAAAGGCAGUUACACAAAUUCAUGGAAGAAAACUCCAUUAAGGGCUAUUAAGCAACAGAAAAUGUGGAGGAUUAUCUGGAGGAAAACGGACAUGUGAGCAAUCCAGCCCUAAUGCUAAUAGCAAGAGUGUGAAAGUAGGUUUUGCCGCCUACCGGUAAGGUUACUAGAGGGCAUGCAAUGUGGUGAGAAACUCCCCUUGGAACGAGAAAAACAACUCCCAGAUGUUCAGUAAGGAACUUACGGGCUUAGGGGAGUUUCUUUGCCUCCUCAUGGACAGUACAUGCUAUUCAAUCAUAUACUGUUUAGAUGCACGUGCAAAAUGAACAUGUACCAAUCACUGUAUAGUUUGAUUCACGGGAUCAUGGUUAAGACAUAUAAAAGAUGCUAUUCGGGCUUAACAAAGUGUCAGCAUUUAAUCAUAUUGAUUGGUGUGCUGUCCGUUUAUCUCCCGCAAGAAAAUCCCUAAGCUGCGGAUUGCUAGAAGCUGGGUGAGUUUAUUGGAAGAAGGACCACUCUGCUGUUGCUCAUUUUUUCCACUCUGUCUGUAAGUAUCCACUAAUAUUUCAGAGGCAGGAUACUGGGAUAGGUGGAAAUUUGGUAUUCUGUUCUUAUAUUUUAAGGCUCAAAUCUUGCCAGUCUUACAGACCAAAAGUCUUUGAAACAGAAAUCACAAUAGCACUGUCUGGCUAAAUUUGCAAAUAUGCAGUGGCAGGUCUGAGAGAAGCAUGACUGCCUCAUUUGUAUCAAUGGGUAUAUGCUCUCUAGCUAAUUGAUGAUAAUUUGUGUGUCAACACUGAUAGCCAUAACUACUGAUCAAAGAAAUACAAAAGAUCACGUGAUGAUUUGCACAGUCUUCAGAAAGCAACAUUUUUCGUUGGGCCCAGCUGGGUGGAGCUUGAGAAAGUACUCUGUGCAGCCUGUGAGAAAGUGCUCUGUACAGCUGUCUUGGCUGGAUGCUGAUGAAGAUGCUCUUACUAAAUGAGUUGUCAACAAAAACAGCUCGAGGGCUUCUAUCAGUGAAGCAGUAGCGCGUGUGAGAGGCGGGCCACUUUGUUCUGCAGGGUAGACACUCACCAUGGCUUCUGCGUUCAGUCUCAGCUAUGUAUUACAAUAAAGUGAGCUAUAGAUACUACAGACCUGAAAAACCCUCUACCCCCUGCUUGCUCCAUACAUCACAGUCUCCUGGCAAAAAAGAGUUUAGAAGUGAGGCGUCAUCUUUCCUCUUCGAUUUCUUUGUCUUAUAAAAGGCAAGAGGAACGAAGCCAGUGGAAGGUGCUAGGAGUACAAUUUACCUGUGUACACAGACAGAACUCACUAUUGGACUGCUCCAAUACAGUCUUGGGCCCCCUUAUAGUUUAUUAAUUUCCAUGACCACGGACAACUUUGAUGGAAAUCCAUGCAGGCUGGGUAAUCCAAGGACCAUUGACGUUACACUACUUCUGCAUUGUACUUUUCUACCCAUAACUCUCUUACCUUUCUCACAACUGGAUGCUUGUAUUUUUUCCAGUGUUACUCCAAACUUGCUCAGAGUUCAUCCAGAUAACAUAAUAGAUAGUAUUCCUGUAUACAUCAACCCUUUAUUACUAAUAAGGUAAUCUUAAUGGUAGCAAGGAAAAAACUGGUGCCAGCAAAACCCAAGGAUCUCCAGCUUUUAUUUUAUGGUCUUUACUAGCAGAAAAUAUUCAGGGUAAUAGUAAGAAACAGAUCAAAUCCUAUCACAUAGCUAUUAAAAAGGAGUCCCACUAGAUGGGGUUAUAGUUUCAAAUGAAGAGGAUUUUUUUAAUCUGGCUUGAGAACAGAUUUUUUUUGCUUCUUAUUUUGUUCAAGUUACCUACCUAAUUCUAUAUGAUUAGAAUAGCUUCUUCUUGUCUCUUCAGUUCGUAAUCUAGAAUUUUUUGAGCUUUCUUAAUUAUUUCAGAGUCUUUCAGCAUAAGCUGUUUUAGGGGUUUUUUUUGAGUAAAGUACUGAAGUGUUCUGAGCAGUCUUGCCACUUCAGUGGCCAAACUACAGUACUUUUUUGUUUAGCGUGGUUUUUCUUCUCUGCACGCAGCACUACUCUAAUACCAGUCAUUAUUUUAUAUGCUUACCGUAUAUCAUUUAGAAAAAAAUCCAAGCACAAAUCAUCUUUAUUUGGAAUUAGUAACAUAAUUGGUGCCAUCACCUAUGAUCUGUUUGGAAGAGAGAUUUUAUUUUUUUAUUUGUUUUUAUGAGCAAAGACUGGUUAGCACAGGUGUGCCCUAUAACCGGGUUCAAAUACUCCUUCAUGUAAGAAAUAAAUAAUUGUGAUGAAUUUCAAUAAUAAUUAUGUCCGUACGUCCUUGUUCUUGCUUAGUUUCAAAAGGAGCUUCUCGUAUGAGAAUGAAUCAAAUAUAGUAAUACUAAAAGGAAGACUGCACACACGCAAAUCUUAUGAAGACAAAUUGAGAUCAUUAGGCAAAAUUAAUUUUUGGCAUUGCCUGAUUUGUGAUUAUUUUUAAAACUUAGUAUGGUGCCAUAUUUGUUGUUAUUGUGCUGGGCACACUUUCAUUCUUACAUCAAUCUAAGUAAUAAUUAUACUAAUGCCUUUGAAUUUUUGCUUUAAGAAUGGUGAGAGACAUCUCAAGGGUCAUCCGCACUCUUAAUCUAAUGAAGUUAUUUGUGCUAAAUCACUCAUAUCUACCAUUUUUAAAACAAAGAAUACCAAAUGAAAUUAUCUUUUACAAGGACAGCAAAAAAAAAGGCAAGGGGGGAAUGGAAAGGGACAGGAAGAUGUGGAAAUUAAAAGUAAUCUAAUGAUAAGCUCUAUGUCGUGAUUUGCAUCAAUUGUAAGAGGUACUGGGAAAUUAAACAAUUUUUUUUUUAUGAUCUAAAACAUAUCAAAGCUCUAUUUUCACAAAGUGCUUUGACGAGUAGCUUCCCUAGUCAGAGUAUGAGCUCUCACUUAGUAUAAAUCCUGAAAGCUGAAGCAGCGUAAAGCCUUAAUGUAAAUUAUGUACUCUCAUGGUCUUUCUAUAUACAUGCAAUAGCAGAGACGUCUCUUGAUAGCUAUCCAUAUUUAUCGAUCAAGUUCUAAUAAUUAUCUGGGAAUGCCAAAUUACCAGUCUCAUUUAUAUAGGAAAACAAAGAGAAGACUAUAUUGGAGAGCUGAGUUUCUACUAUUACAAAGAAAUGAACAGGAUUUUAUCUUUAAUUUCUGUGGUCUGAAUUCCUUUUGAAAAUCAGAACUGUGUAUCAAAGGAACAAUUAAGUUUAGUGCAAUCCAUUUACAGCCAACAUGCUUUUGCUGGAACAAUUAUACUGUAUUGGAAUGAAAAUCCCAAACUGUUUCAGUAUGUUACUCUUUCAUUUACAAUAAAUUCCUGGGUUUAGGCCCAAAUUUCUGUUUUGCUCCUUUGUAGGAAUUCCAAAUGUGAUGAUAUAGUUACUUGAUCAUGGAGAUCAUCAACUGUAUGUAGUAGAUAAGGUUAAUUACUCUUAAAAUUAACAGUGAGUUUAGCUACCAAUCAACUGAUGCAACUCUUCUCUAGUGUAAUCUAAUAAUAAUAAUAUAAAAUACUUCUUUUUACUGUAGUGCGACAUUACAGACGUAUCAGCAUGAACGCAGAGGUCUCAGGUAUCUGUGUAACUUGCCAUGUGUUCCAGUAACCCGGAAACAGUGCUGCAUCAUGAAGCAAGUGUGCAUCUUUUUUCAGUGUACCUUGUGUCAUAGCAACUGCUGCCAAGGCAGAUAAAGCAUGAACUGGAGCUGGGUAAAUUAGGCCAGAGCUGAGUUUCUAACAAUACAUUGAAUCUACAGAAAGCCAUUACACUAUGAAUGAAAAAAACAGACAAAACAGGUGAGUGGAAUAUGGGUUGAAGGAAAAGAGAAAAGUAACAAAAGAGGUUAUUUUUGACUUGACUUCUGACUCGCUGGUUGUCAGUCUUUAAACUUUUUAUUUUUAACUUGAAAACUGUCAUAAAUACAGUGCUUCAGUGUAUGAAGGAAUAGCCACAGACAUAAUAAAGAAACAGUGGUUGAUUUCUUCUAAAUCCCUUUUUAAGUAAAAUAAUCAAGAUCACUGAUUCAUCCACUGAAUGAAUUUCAGAAUGUUCUUGCGGAACCUUUUAAAUAAUACGUGUUUUUCCCCAUAGUUUAAAAGCUGGCAUUAGCAAGUGGACACUCAGUUCCAAAAGAGGUCACUGGAGACCCUCCAAGCCAUAGGCAGCGAACUUCACAGGACUCACCUUUAAUGUAGUGGUGGCAACACAUCCCCGUUUUAACCGACGCCUAGCAGAGCACUUCUCAGAAAGUGACUGAUUUGAGUUCAGUUCCCUGCUCAGGCUAAGGAGGUUCAAAUCCAUCUCUUCUGCCACCCAGGCAGGGACAUGCUUUGGCAGUGGCAGGCAACAUAGCAUUCAUGUUUGGAAGCUGUUCCAUUUAUAACACCUUUUCACUCUCACUAAUUUGACCUGGGAGAGGAUACUGCAGGAGGGACAUAUUCCUUAUGGUGGAGAAGGACAUACAUUUUGGUAAACUGAAAAAUCAGAGUGUGAUAAAAGGAAAGUUACAUUUAUUUGAAGGAUGUUCUACUCAGGAUGCUGAAGAUUGUCUUCCAGGAAUCUACAGCUUUGCUCUUAUUACAUUGACGUGGCAGCAGUGCAAGGUCAAAGGAGAAAUACCCACUGGAAGGACACAUCAUACACUUACCGCACACUAUGACAAG